rnacentral:lncRNA from 1 species
AAAUAUGGCCAGAAUACAAGUCCAAACAAAGCUAAAAUAAAAUAAGUGUUCAAAUAAUAAAACAUAGCAAGCCCAUCAUAACAAAGCUGAAUCUUCACAAAAGCCUUACUUGAUCUUCACUUUAGGCUUCCCUUUGUGUAGUUUUAGCCCAUAGGUUUGAUUAGGCUCCCUAAGCCUAUGAUUGCAAGUAUUGCACCAAAUCUGUCCCAUAUGAGUUGAAGCACGCCCCAAAUAUAUAUGGAUCAUAUGAAUAUGAU